UCUCUACAUUUACACAUUCUGUCAAUUUAGUCCUAAUUCUAAAAUUUUUUAAAAAAUAUUUUUAGCCCUUUAUAACCUAUCGACUAACUAGUGAUGGUAACGGGUGGGGUGGUUUUUGCCCACUCCGACUCAAUCUUGACUUUAAAAAAAUUUGACCUGCUCUGAACCCGAACUUUGACCCAAAAAUUAAUAGUAUACCUGGCUCCAAUACAUUCCAACCCGUUUAUUUUUUAUUUUUAAUUUUCUUGUAAAAUUAUUAUUAAUUAAUUUCUUUUAAAAGAUGAAAAGUUUAGCACG
rnacentral:lncRNA from 1 species